rnacentral:misc_RNA from 1 species
AACGCACAUUGCGCCCGCCAGUAUUCUGGCGGGCAUGCCUGUUCGAGCGUCAUUUCAACCAUCAAGCGCUUCGCUUGUGUUGGGGCCCUGCGGCUGCCGCAGGCCCCUAAAUCCAGUGGCGGGCUCGUCGUGGUACCGAGUGCAGUAAACAUCCUCGCUCAGGGAACCCGACGGGUGCCGGCCGUGAAACCCCCCCUCCUCAAGGUUGACCUCGGAUCAGGUAGGAAUACCCGCUGAACUUAA